AUUGAACGCUGGCGGCAGGCCUAACACAUGCAAGUCGAACGGUAACAGGAAACAGCUUGCUGUUUCGCUGCCGAGUGGCGGACGGGUGAGUAAUGUCUGUGAAACUGCCUGAUGGAGGGGGAUAACUACUGGAAACGGUAUCUAAUACCGCAUAACGUCUCAAGCCCAAAGAGGGGGACCCUCGGGCCUCUUGCCAUCGGAUGUGCCCCGAUGUGAUUAGCUUGUUGGUGGGGUAACGGCUCACCAAGGCGACGAUCCCUAGCUGGUCUGAGAGGAUGACCAGCCACACUGGAAGUGAGACACGGUCCAGACUCCUACGGGAGGCAGCAGUGGGGAAAAUUGCACAAUGGGCGGAAGUCUGAGGAAGCCAUGCCGCGUGUAUGAAGAAGGGAUUCGAGUUGUAAAGUAGUUGAAGCGGGGAGGAAGGGAGUAAAGGUAAGACAUAUGCUGAUUGACGUUGGCCGAAGAAGAAGCAAAGGCAAACUCCGUG
rnacentral:rRNA from 1 species